UUACGUCUGUCCAAUUAUUUUG
rnacentral:miRNA from 15 species